UAACCUACCUAUAAGACGUGGGAUACUGGAAACCGGAGCUAAUACCGGAUAAUAUAUUGAACCGCAUGGUUCAAUGGUGAAAGACGGUUUUGCUGUCACUUAUAGAUGGAUCCGCGCCGCAUUAGCUAGUUGGUAAGGUAACGGCUUACCAAGGCAACGAUGCGUAGCCGACCUGAGAGGGUGAUCGGCCACACUGGAACUGAGACACGGUCCAGACUCCUACGGGAGGCAGCAGCU
rnacentral:rRNA from 1 species